UCCGUCUUGAAACACGGGACCAAGGAGUGCAAGASGCGCGCGMGUCUUGGGGUGAUCGAAAUUCCGAUCUAGGGCGAAGCGAGAGUGAGACGCGGGAUCCGGUGACUGCAAGGCUCGUCGGCGCACCGCGGACCGAGCCGUAUGGUCACGCUGUGGCCGGCUUCGAGUCAGAGCGCACCUGUUGCGACCCGAAAGAUGGUGAACUAUGCCCGAGGAGGGUGAAGCCAGGGGAAACUCUGGUGGAAGCUCGUAGCGGUUCUGACGUGCAAAUCGAUCGUCGCACUUGGGUAUAGGGGCGAAAGACUAAUCGAACCAUCUAGUAGCUGGUUCCCUCCGAAGUUUCCCUCAGGAUAGCUGGAGCCCGGCUGGGCAGUUUUAUCGGGUAAAGCGAAUGAUUAGAGGUAUCGGGGUCCGAGCGACCUCGACCUAUUCUCAAACUUUAAAUAGGUAAGGUCGGGCGGCUUGCUUGUGUGAAGCCGCACCGCGGAAUGCAGGGGCUCCUGGUGGGCCGUUUUUGGUAAGCAGAACCGGCGAUGCGGGAUGAACCGAACGGCGGGUUACGGUGCCGGAGUCGACGCUGACCAGAACCCAGGAAAGGUGUUGGUUGAUCCAGACAGCAG
rnacentral:rRNA from 1 species